rnacentral:rRNA from 1 species
AUUGAACGCUGGCGGCAUGCCUUACACAUGCAAGUCGAACGGCAGCACGGGAGCAAUCCUGGUGGCGAGUGGCGAACGGGUGAGUAAUACAUCGGAACGUGCCCAGUAGUGGGGGAUAGCCCGGCGAAAGCCGGAUUAAUACCGCAUGAGACCUGAGGGUGAAAGCGGGGGAUCGCAAGACCUCGCGCUAUCGGGACGGCGGAUGUCAGAUUAGCUAGUUGGUGGGGUAAAGGCCCACCAAGGCAACGAUCUGUAGUUGGUCUGAGAGGACGACCAGCCACACUGGGACUGAGACACGGCCCAGACUCCUACGGGAGGCAGCAGUGGGGAAUUUUGGACAAUGGGCGCGAGCCUGAUCCAGCAAUGCCGUGUGCAGGAAGAAGGCCUUCGGGUUGUAAACUGCUUUUGUCAGGGAAGAAAUCCUUUGGGAUAAUACCUCGGAGGGAUGACGGUACCUGAAGAAUAAGCACCGGCUAACUACGUGCCAGCAGCCGCGGUAA